GCCGCUGUAACCUAGUAGUCAUGGUUGCGGGCUCGAGUCCGGCGGUUUUCGUCGAAUUGUGGGUUCGAGCCUUGAUGCCACGGUUAGCGGCA